CAACUAUUUGCUGUUGCACAUCAAUUGAUUCCGGUUGUCUUCAAUGUCACACGAGGAUGGUUCCGGGGUUAUUUUUGAUAUUUUUCCUGAGGUGCCCGACAAGUCGUGUAACAAGUCAUAAACACGCUUCUUUAGUGUCGUUUUCAUACCGCUGUUAUAAGAUGAGAUUGCCAUGCAGAGUUCCACCACUUCACAUGACAUCUUCGAGGAGGACAUCCACAGCCCCCGCUGGGAUGUUUGUCCCAGAGUGUGGCUCCAUAGACAAACGGUGUCUGCAGCUGCUCCAGGACUUUGUCUCGCAGGCCACACGGCUGUUUGUCAUCAGCGGCGCUGGCCUCUCCACAGAAUCGGGCAUCCCAGAUUACCGCUCAGAAGGCGUGGGCCUGUACGCCCGCACUGACAGACGUCCCAUACAGCAUGUCGAGUUUGUCCGUAGUGCCAAGUCCCGUCAGCGUUACUGGGCGCGGAACUUCCUGGGGUGGCCGCAGUUCUCAUCGCAUCAUCCUAACGACGCUCACAGGAUUCUGAAGCAUUGGGAAGAGCGAGGAAAGCUGUACUGGUUGGUCACCCAGAAUGUGGAUGCUCUCCAUUCAAAGGCAAGACAGAAAAGACUCACUGAGCUUCAUGGAUGUGCCCACAGGGUAGUGUGUUUAGGCUGUGGCAGCAUCUCGGCGAGGGAGGAGCUCCAGAGACGUUUCAUUGAGCUCAACCCAGACUGGAGGGCUCAGCACGGGGCUGUGGCUCCAGACGGUGACGUCUUCCUGGAAGACGAGCUGGCUCUCCAUUUCAGGGUUCCGUCCUGUGCGGUCUGUGGAGGAAUACUGAAGCCUGAGGUUACCUUCUUUGGCGACACGGUGAACAAAGACACAGUGCAGUUUGUGCACAACAAAUUAGCCGAGUCGGACGCGGUGCUCGUCCUCGGGUCGUCGCUGCAGGUCUACUCAGGAUACAGAUUUUUAUUGGCAGCCAAGGACAGGAAGAUACCAGUUGCCAUUGUGAACAUUGGGCCUACGAGGGCAGACCAUUUGGCACAGCUGAAAGUGAGUGGUCGCUGUGCUGAAGUGCUGUCAAUCAUUCAACCUCUCUGACCGUAAUUCCAUGAAACACGGACAUAGUCUUCAAAGAGAAAAACUACCUCAACUACGCUACUAGGAUCAUACGAAUGGAACAUCACACUUAAUCUAAUGAGAUCCAAUUCAAGUGCAAUAUCCAAAAAUCUGUCUUUAUUAGGCAAUAAUCUGUUCAAUUUAGAAAUACAUCGGUUUCUUUUUGUGGCUGUAGCUGUCACACGCUGUACUAUGUUGUUACAUGAAUACCUCUUUGAUUCUGUCAAUUAAAACUGAGCAUUAUCAUUUUUAAAGGCAGAGUUACUGGUGCAGCUUUUGUUAGGCAUUAAUAAUCUUCUGUUCAGUUUAGAAAUACAUCCGUUUCUUUUUGUGGCUGUAGCUGUCACACGCUGUACUAUGUUGUUACAUGAAUACCUCUUUGAUUCUGUCAAUUAAAACUGAGCAUUAUCAUUUUUAAAGGCAGAGUUACUGGUGCAGCUUUUGUUAGGCAUCCUGUUAGCAGGUGUGCCUAAUGUUGUGGCCAGUGAGUAUCGACAUUUCUGAUACUAAAUCACAUGCUAACUGUCCCCCUGUAAUCGGAAUCCACUAAGUAUCGGUUGCUAACAGCUUUAUUUCUAAUUGUUAAUGUCCAUAAAUCUAUUUAAAUAAUGUCAAUUAUUUCACUUUGCAUUGUUGAGGUCAUAAGCGAAACAUGACAAUUUGAUAACCUGUAAGUCUACACUGCAUCUACUGACACAAAUUGCAGGUGGACCUCAUGAAGAGAACAGCAACUAUAUGUACGGUUAAGUAUAAAAUUAGUAAUACACUGCCCAAAGUUUGAGUGAUUCAAUUAAAAAAAAAUUUUUUUUUUAGAUUUUAAUUGUCAUUGAGAUUUAAUCACACUGGUGGCACGCGAGCUCCCUCAAGUGGUAUGCAAAAUAAUUUAUUGUUUCAACUUCGGUGGUACUGUAGUGAGAAUUGUGGAGUCAACAUUUUUGACUGGCAAACCCUUUUGAACGCCAGUAAAUAAGAGUUUGUUGACCGUGGAUUUAAUCCUUAAGAAUUUGUUUUCAGGUGUUUUGGUACAAUUAUUCUUUCACCUGCGUACACUACAUUUUAAUUGAAUCAGUUCAUGUUUUCCUAUAUUUAAGCAGUGUGACUGUUCACACUGUGCAUGUUAGAGUGGCUUUCAAUAAUACUAAGGUAACCUCUUGGGAGUACAGUGGACCCCCACAUACUCAUGGUUCACUCUUGGGCCUAUUAUGCCACUAGGGCUGGGCAACAUGGUUGAAGUGUAUCAUGGUAUAAGUAUUUUACAUCAGUUCAUAUCGAUAUAUAUUGAAUAUUUAUAUUUUUUUAAGGAAAAUUUGACCACAAAGUUUUCUUUGCAAGAUUAUGUUCUAUCAGCCCCACUUGUCUAAAUAUGGUAUUCUGAUUAAUGUUGCAUUUGUGGAAUAAGGGUUAAGCAGUAAAAUCAAUUCCACCUGGGUUCAAAUGUUCCUCCUCCACUGUUUUCUGAUUAUCAUGUCCCAUUUGUAAAUACGGUUGCAAAUGUCAUGCUGUGUUAAUAAACAAGGAGAAAAGGA